rnacentral:rRNA from 1 species
AACGAACGCUGGCGGCAGGCGUAACACAUGCAAGUCGAACGCCCUGGCAACAGGGAGUGGCAGACGGGUGAGUAACGCGUGGGAACGUGCCCUUCGGUUCGGAAUAACGCAGGGAAACUUGAGCUAAUACCGGAUACGUGCGAGAGCAGAAAGAUUUAUCGCCGAAGGAUCGGCCCGCGUCCGAUUAGCUAGUUGGUGAGGUAACGGCUCACCAAGGCGACGAUCGGUAGCUGGUCUGAGAGGAUGAUCAGCCACACUGGGACUGAGACACGGCCCAGACUCCUACGGGAGGCAGCAGUGGGGAAUAUUGGACAAUGGGCGCAAGCCUGAUCCAGCCAUGCCGCGUGAGUGAUGAAGGCCCUAGGGUUGUAAAGCUCUUUCGCCAGGGACGAUAAUGACGGUACCUGGAUAAGAAGCCCCGGCUAACUUCGUGCCAGCCGCCGCGGUAA